rnacentral:rRNA from 1 species
UGGGGAAUCUUGGACAAUGGGGGCAACCCUGAUCCAGCCAUGCCGCGUGAGUGAUGAAGGCCUUAGGGUCGUAAAGCUCUUUCGCCUGUGAAGAUAAUGACGGUAGCAGGUAAAGAAACCCCGGCUAACUCCGUGCCAGCAGCCGCGGUAAUACGGAGGGGGUUAGCGUUGUUCGGAAUUACUGGGCGUAAAGCGCACGUAGGCGGACCAGAAAGUUGGGGGUGAAAUCCCGGGGCUCAACCCCGGAACUGCCUCCAAAACUAUUGGGUCUAGAGUUCGAGAGAGGUGAGUGGAAUUCCAAGUGUAGAGGUGAAAUUCGUAGAUAUUUGGAGGAACACCAGUGGCGAAGGCGGCUCACUGGCUCGAUACUGACGCUGAGGUGCGAAAGUGUGGGGAGCAACAGGAUUAGAUAGCCCUGGUAGUCCACACCGUAAACGAUGAAUGCCAGUCGUCGGGUAGCAUGCUAUUCGGUGACACACCU